GACGAACGCUGGCGGCGUGCCUAACACAUGCAAGUCGAACGGACGAGGGGAGCUUGCUCCCUGAGUUAGUGGCGAACGGGUGAGUAACGCGUGAGAAACCUGCCUCUCAGUGGGGGACAACAGUUGGAAACGACUGCUAAUACCGCAUAACACUUUAGUACCGCAUGGUACAGAAGUCAAAGCUUUAUGUGCUGAGAGAUGGUCUCGCGUCUGAUUAGCUAGAUGGCGGGGUAACGGCCCACCAUGGCGACGAUCAGUAGCCGGUCUGAGAGGAUGAACGGCCACAUUGGGACUGAGAUACGGCCCAGACUCCUACGGGAGGCAGCAGUGGGGAAUAUUGGGCAAUGGGGGAAACCCUGACCCAGCAACGCCGCGUGGAGGAAGAAGGUUUUCGGAUCGUAAACUCCUGUCCUCAGGGAAGAGCAGAAGACGGUACCUGAGGAGGAAGCCCCGGCUAACUACGUG
rnacentral:rRNA from 1 species